rnacentral:lncRNA from 1 species
AUUUUUCAGCGAAUGAUAUUAAUGGAUUGUUCCCUGAUAAUAUCGGCCAUGCGCUUCCAAAUCUGGUGCGAAUGAACGGCUCAAAGAAUGUGUUCCAAGGGCAUUUUCCAUCGUCUAUGGUUGAGAUGGUAAACAUUACAUUUCUGGAUUUAUCUUAUAAUAACUUCUCUGGGAAGCUACCUAGAAGAUUUGUCACAGGUUGUUUUUCACUAGAAAACCUGAAGCUCUCUCACAACAAAUUUAGUGGCCGUUUUCUUUCCAGAGGAACAAGCUUCACUUCACUGGAAGAGUUGAGAAUGGAUAGCAACUUAUUCACAGGGAAGAUCGGAGUUGGUUUGUUUAGCUCCCACACUUCAUUGUCACUUCUUGACAUGUCCAACAAUUUUCUCACGGGUGGUAUUCCAAGUUGGAUAUCUAAAUUUUCUAGUUUGGAUACCUUAUCCAUGUCAAACAAUUUCUUAGAAGGUGCCAUACCGCCCUUUUUGCUGCUCAUGCCCUUUCUUUCCUUUAUAGACGUCUCUGAAAAUCUGUUUUCUGGAGCCUUACCGUCACAUGUUAGUGGGAGCUAUAGACAGUUGUUUCUACAGAACAACAACUUCAAAGGGACAAUUCCGAAGACAUUGUUGGAAAAUGUCGAGGUACUUGAUUUGCGGAACAAUAAACUCACUGGGAGUAUCCCACAGUUUGUCAAUACCAGUGACAUAUAUAUUCUUUUGUUGAGGGGGAACAAUUUAACAGGAUCUAUUCCAAGACAGCUUUGUGAUUUGAAAAAAACUCAGUCUUUUAGAUCUUUCAGAUAACAAGCUCAAUGGCUCCAUACCUUCAUGCCUAUAUAAUCAUUUAAAGUCAUUUAAACUCAGAUUUACCACUGUGUUUCUAGAGCUAAAUGUGCUUUGGAAUGUACUUUACGUGGUUAUUAAUAAGAGUCUCUACUAUAUGGAUAAUGAGUUGAAGUGUUGAAAUCUUCCUUUCUGUUUAGUUAUGAUUCUCUAUCUGCUUUCUCUUCUUCUUUGCCAGCCCAAGGUAAUAUAUCUUUUUUCGAGUCAUUCUACUUGGGUCACAAAAAUAUAACACCAUGUUUUCUGGAUUUCUAACUUAAAACUAAUUGAAAAUAGUGAAUUUACCCAAAUCCCAUAUAUCAGUGUUAGUUCUUUUAUAUAUCCUAUGUGGACUGCAUCCUAACAAGUUGAUUAUGAAACCAAUUAUGAUCCAUCUAUUUGCAAUUGCAUUAUUACAGAAAUACAAUUGCAAGAAAUUUGUCUGCAAUUGCAAGAAAUUUGUUUGCAAUUGCAUAAUUAUCUCAAUCUACAUAUUUGCGAUUACAUUCAUGUACAGAAUAAUCAGAAAUUUUUAAUAGUAAAAAUAUUAUUAACCGGUUUACAUUUAAGUUUUAAAACAUGCUAUAUAACUAGAACUAUAUGAUUUUUUCUAAUAAUAAAAUAUUCCCUCACAAUAUCAUCUAGUAUCUAACGAUUAUGGUUUUGUCUAAAGGACGAAGACGAAGACCUUGACUUAUGAUCUUGUAAUACAAUUCAAAGUAAACGAUACCGAUCGCUCAAUAUUUAGUCGUUCGUAUACAAAAGAUGUAUUCACUUUAUCUCAAAAAAAAAGGAUGAAUUCAGAAAAAAAAAAGCUGUACUGCAAGAUUAUACAAGUCGCACACACUUGAAAGAUUUGAUUAAAUAAUAUUUAAUUAAAAUUAAAUUGAAAAAAAAAUUGUAAAAUCGAUGAUUUAAAAAAAAAAAAAAAAAAAAAAAAAAAAAACUCAACGUCUAAAAUAUUGCACAAAUCCAAUAAGAAAAUUGUGUGGGUCUAUUUUGAUUGCCACAUGACUUUUGACUUUUCUAGAUAUACGAAUACAUAGUGUUGAAUUCUUAUAACCGCGUGGAGGCAUUUGUAUUGAACUUGUACACUCCCAAAUUGCUUUGGAGUUUAAUUCAUCUGCUUCCUUUAACAAAAAAAAAAAAAAAAAAAAAAAAAAAAACCUUAUUUGCAAUGGAAGGAAAGCUUUUCUUGGGCCAAUACUUGAUAUGGGUAACAUUACUGUUGGUGCAGCUGCAAGGAUGUAAAAGCUGCAUUGAAAAAGAAAGGAAAGCUUUGUUAGAGCUCAAGAAAUAUGUUAUGUCAAAGAGUCAAACGCCAGACUAUGUUCUCCCUACUUGGGAUAAUGACACAAAGAGCGAUUGUUGCCGGUGGAAGGGCAUUAUGUGCAAUCAUACAAGCCGGCGGGUUAUUGGGCUUUCCCUUGGAGUAUUUUUUAACUUAAACGAGAAUCUUAUCCUAGAUCUUUCUUUACUGCAUCCCUUUGAAGAGGUUCGAAGUCUGGAUUUAUCAUCAGGGUUUAAAGGCUUUGUUGAUAAUGUUGAAGGUAUCUACCAGCUUUUUCAACAGUCUAGUCUACCGUUGUGGUCCCUAUUUGGAAACAAAAUUUUCUAAUUAUUUGACACUACGUUAAUUAGAUUUUCCCCUGUAUCAAAAGGUUGUAGUACCUUCAUCUGCAUAAUUAGUUAUAUGUGGCUGAUGCCUAGCACAAAAUUACAUCUAACGGUCAGUCUCGCUUUCUUUUAAGUUCCAUGCAGUUUUAACUAUCUUAAUUCCAUUUUGCUAAAAGGUAUAACUGAAAUUAUUGAAGAAAACAGGGUGGGAUAUUUUUUUUUUUUGUAUUCUCUGUUAACAAGAUUUUUGUUUGCAGGUUAUAAAAGCUUAAGGAAAUUCAGAAACCUGGAGAUUCUGAAUCUUUCAUAUAAUAGUUUAAACAGCAGCAUAAUUCCCUUUCUUAAUGCUGCUACAUCACUUAAAACUCUUUCUCUCCAGAGCAGCUUCAUGUUAAGUGGUACUUUUCCUUUUGAAGGUGUGUAUUUUUUUCAUUUGUAACCUACUUUAAAUGAUGCAUGUUUGGUUAGGUUAUUUGGUUUAUAUGCAAUAAUUUCUAAAAUUUUCUCCCUCUUUCUUUUAGUUCUAAUCAUUAUUAUAUUUCUCUCGGACUAUCUUUCAGAAAUAAAAGACUUGACAAACUUGAAUCUGCUCGACCUUGCUGGAAAUAGACUAAACGGCUCCAUGCUAGGUAGCAUCUCCAACAUAUUGAAUUGGUUAUCCGCUUAUGUCAUUUCAAUAUUAAAUUAGAGGUGUCUUGCUUUGUGUCUCUUUGUCUUGGGGCAGGGUUGACUCACCUUAAAAGGCUGAAAGCUCUGGAUCUAAGUUACAAUGGUUUUUCUAGCAUAAUGGAAUUGCAAGGCAAGCUUGCUUUUUCUCUUUCUUUUAUGCAUAUGGAGAUGAGCAGCGUAACAACAUUUUAUGAUAAGAAGUUUUGAGACGAAUAAUAUUAUUCUCAAUAUCUUCUUGUUUUCGAAACUGUCUUUUUUCAGUAGUUUGUGAAAUGAAGAACUUGCAGGAGCUCGACGUCAGUGGAAAUCGUUUCGUAGGCCAUAUUCCUCUUUGUUUAUGUAGCUUGAACAAGCUACAGGUUCUUGAUUUCUCAUCCAACCAAUUAAGUGGAAACCUACCAUCUAAUUUCAACAACCUUGAGGGACUCGAAUAUCUAUCAUUGUUGGAUAACAAUUUCACGGGCUUAUUCUCGCUCGAUCCACUCGCCAACCUCACAAAGCUUAAGGUGUUCAAACUUUCAUCAACAUCUGAUAUGGUACAAGUCGAGACAAAGAGUAUUUGGCAGCCAAAAUUUCAACUGACUGUUGCUGUACUAGGAGAUUGCAGCUUGGAGGAAAUCCCUUCCUUUCUCCUGUAUCAGAAGAACUUGCGUCUAGUUGAUCUAUCCAACAACAGAUUAUCUGGAGAAAUUCCUACUUGGCUGUUGGUGAAUAAUUCAAAACUUGAAGUCUUACAGUUGCAGAAUAAUGCAUUCACUAUCUUCCAGAUGCCUACAAUAGUGCAUAAUUUGCAGUUCUUGGAUUUUUCAGCGAAUGAUAUUAAUGGAUUGUUCCCUGAUAAUAUCGGCCAUGCGCUUCCAAAUCUGGUACGAAUGAACGGGUCAAAUAAUGGGUUUCAAGGGAAUUUUCCAUCGUCUAUGGGUGAGAUGGUAAACAUUACAUUUCUGGAUUUAUCUUAUAAUAACUUCUCUGGGAAGCUACCUAGAAGCUUUGUCACAGGUUGUUUUUCACUAGAAAACCUGAAGCUCUCUCACAACAAAUUUAGUGGCCGUUUUCUUUCCAGAGGAACAAGCUUCACUUCACUGGAAGAGUUGAGAAUGGAUAGCAACUUAUUCACAGGGAAGAUCGGAGUUGGUUUGUUUAGCUCCCACACUUCAUUGUCACUUCUUGACAUGUCCAACAAUUUUCUCACGGGUGGUAUUCCAAGUUGGAUAUCUAAAUUUUCUAGUUUGGAUACCUUAUCCAUGUCAAACAAUUUCUUAGAAGGUGCCAUACCGCCCUUUUUGCUGCUCAUGCCCUUUCU